UAGAUCGAUGUAUUAAUUAUGAUUAGUAUAUGUAUAAAAUAUGGCAUGUCGAUAUAUCUCUUGUUAUAGUGUUAUAUAUAUAUAUAUAUAUAUAUAACGUUCACCUUUAUUUCAUAUAUUUAGCGUAAAGUCCAUUGACUGUAGUCUCCAGCCAUUUGAAAUGAAAUCUCAAUUUCCCCUGCAUCGGAGUGGACGCAGCAUGCUGCAUGAUGUUUUUAGCCUGCAAAUUUGCAAGGGCAAGUUGAAUUAGCAAGGUAGGUUUUAGACUUUUCGUUCGUUGAGAUGAUAUUGGGCUUCACCAAGCCUGGAUAUCAAUUGUAAGUAGAGGCAAACCCAUCUUUGUCUAUGUUCCAAUUGGCCCUGUUUGUUGUGCCUGUCAUGAUGGUUUUGGUCGGCUCAAGCUGAAGAUCAUAACUUUGAAAUUAAGAUGCAAAUGCAAGAAUCUCGAAGCUUUAAUAGUUUAGAAACUUCUAGUGAUCUUUAAUACCUGUAGACAUGAAAUCUCAAUCAUGAAACUAAACUGCUAAACAUGUUACAUGGCCAGAUCAAUGGAGGAGCGAGCACUAAAUCACAGCACUCGGAGAGAAAGAAAAAGUAAAACUACGGCCAUGAAGCUGUGAGAAGUAAAAGGAAUCGACGUAAGUUGCUUUGAUUUUCUCUCAUAUUUCUGUAAAUUAAAGCAGGAAAUGGAACCUGAAGCAUGAGAUUAUAAUCUUCUCCAGCAGGUCACAAAACAAUAUUGUAAUCAUACUUUAUGGAGGGGAUGUGUGAGAUGAACACCCACUAUUGCACAAAUACUGAGGAUUAGAGCUGCCACGCAACAGUCUUUCAGGCAGACACUCGAGAGCUUGACAAAUUUCAAUAGUGAUAGGUGUAAGCAUAGUUGGCAAUCCCAUAUAGACUUGGACACCCCUCAAAUUCCAGGAAGGUCAGAGAUGAUGGUUUGUGCAGCUCGUGAGGUAAAUUCUCUAAUAAUACUGAACAACCAUAUAUCUGCAACUUUUGAAGAGAACUCAGGUGCUGAAAUCCAGCUUGGUUGGACAACGUGGUGAUGUCACCACAACCACCAAUGGCUAAAUCUUCCAUUUCUGUCAGGUGUUGCAAAAAGCCAACGGCUAAAUCAAGAACAAAUUGGGCUAAAUCACUGAUGAGGUCAUGCACAACAAAAAUUCAUCAUUGCAACUUGACUUUGAAAGAAAGAACUAGAUAAUAGAUCACGAAAAUACUCAUCACCUACUUCUUCCAUUUUCUUCUGCCUCCUCGGUUGCCUGACAAGACCUUCUGCCAUCCAUAGCAAGACAAGCUUAUCUCUAUCAAAUUCAAAACCCUUAGGGAAGACUGAACAAUAAGCAGAGAAUUACUUAAUUUUUUUUGCCUUCUGAAACCACUAAUAUCAUAUUAGAGGGGGCAAACUUGUGAGAUUUUCACGUUUCCCUUUUAGCUAUGGAGCUCGGGAGGUUUAUCCCGAAACGACCCAUUAGGCUUGCCCAAUUCCAACUAACAUUGGGCUAAUCCCUCUUUUAUUCUUGAGGAGAUAUCCCGAAGCCCCACAAACCAAAACGAAGCUAGGGACAUUGAACCAGCUUCCAGCAAACCAUACCAGAGUUCUGGAACGAGCCUCCUAUGCCCCAAACUUCCCCCUUCUUUGGACCUCACCAGGGGAUUCUCGCGCAAAUGUAUAAAGCCCCUAAUGGCAUAAUUGUUAGAUCCUACUGCGACUGACCCGAAAAAAGUUAUCGGAUUAUUGAGUUAAUUUAUGAGUUAUGGGUUAAUAAUAUUUAUUUAAAUAAUAUUGUUUUGGUUUUU
rnacentral:lncRNA from 1 species